rnacentral:pre_miRNA from 1 species
CCCUUAACUAUUAAAAGUUUCGUUUUGGUCCUUUAACUUACUUUUUGGUUUCGUUUUGAUCCCUUAACUCUUCCUCCGUCAACCACUUUGGUCUUUUAUGUUAGGAUGAAUGUAUUAAAGUUAAGGGACCAAAACGAAACCAAAAAAUAAGUUAAGGGAGCAAAACGAUACUAAAAAUUAAGUUAAGGGACCAAAACGAAACUUUUAAUAGUUAAGGGA